AUUUAAAUAAGUUUUAAAAUUAAUAGAUUAAAAAUUAUAUGUAAAUAAAAUGAUAUAAAAUAAAAUUAAAUUUUAGUAUUUAUUAAGAAUUAAAAUAUAUAAUAUUUUAACUGUAAAGGAAAAAUUUAAAUUAUAAAAAGAUAAUUUAAUUUAUUGUACCUUUUGUAUCAGGGAUUUUUAAAAUAUUUGUAAAAAUUUAUAAAUCUCGAAUUAAAAUGAGUUAAUUAGAAAUUAUAGUUAAUGUUGAAUAAUUAUUAUAAAUUUUUAAUUAGAGAUGAAAUGUUAGUCGAAUUUUAAGAUAUCUAGUUUUUUAAUAAAAAAAUUAAAUUUAAAUAUAAAAAAAAAUUAUUAAUUAAUAAAAAUUGGUAAUUGAUUUAUAAGUUAAAAUUUAUGGGAUAAACUAUAAAUUUAAAUUAAAUAAAUAUAUUUGUUAUAAAAAUUGAAAUUUAAAGAUUAAAAUAUUUAAAAUUAAAAAGUUUUUAAUAAUUUAUUUAGUUAAGUUAUAAUAUAAUUUAAUAAUAUUUAUUAAUUUAGUAUUAAAAUAAAAUUUUUAAUUAUUUAUAAUUUAAAAUAAUGAUAAUAUUAGUAUAAAUUUUUGUUAAUUAAAUAUAGAAAUAUAAAUUAGUUAAAGGAAUUAGGCAAAUUUUAUUAAGUUCACAUGUUUAACAAAAACAUGUUUUUUUGAUUAUAAUUUAAAAUUUACUCUGCCCAAUGAUAUUUAAUUUAAUGGCCGCAGUAUAUUGACUGUGCAAAGGUAGCAUAAUAAAUAGUUUUUUAAUUGAAGACUAGAAUGAAGGAGGGGAUGAAAUUUAAACUGUCUCUAAUUAAAAAAUAGAAAUUUAUAAUUAAGUAAAAAAUCUUAAAUAAAUUUAAGGGACGAGAAGACCCUAUAGAAUUUUAAAUUUGAAUUUAAAUAUAGUUAAAAAAUUUGAUUAAUUAUUAAAAUUUAAAUUUUUGGUUGGGAGGAUAUUAAAAUUUUAUAAACUUUUAAUUUUAAAAAACAUUGAUUUAUGAAAUAUUUAGUAUAUUUAUAUAAUAAAAAUAAAAUUACCUUAGGGAUAACAGCGUAAUAAAUUUUUAAAGUUCAAAUUAAAAAAUUUGAUUGCGACCUCGAUGUUGAAUUAAAAUAAAAUUUAAGUGUAGAAGCUUAAUAUUUAAGUCUGUUCGACUUUUUAAAUUUUACAUGAUUUG
rnacentral:rRNA from 1 species